AGAGUUUGAUCAUGGCUCAGAACGAACGUUAGCGGCGCGCCUAACACAUGCAAGUCGCACGAGAAAGGGCUUCGGCCCCGGUAAAGUGGCGCACGGGUGAGUAACACGUGGGUAAUCUGCCCUCGAGCGGGGGAUAACAUUCCGAAAGGAGUGCUAAUACCGCAUAAGACCACGACCUCGAAAGAGGAUGCGGUCAAAGCUGGCCUCUAUACAUAAGCUAGCACUCGAGGAUGAGCCCGCGGCGCAUCAGCUAGUUGGUGAGGUAAUGGCUCACCAAGGCUAAGACGCGUAGCUGGUCUGAGAGGAUGAUCAGCCACACUGGAACUGAGACACGGUCCAGACUCCUACGGGAGGCAGCAGUGGGGAAUCUUGCGCAAUGGGCGAAAGCCUGACGCAGCGACGCCGCGUGAGUGAUGAAGGCCUUCGGGUUGUAAAGCUCUGUGGGGAGAGAAGAAUUAGUGCAGCCUAAUACGCUGCAUGAUGACGGUAUCUCCUUAGCAAGCACCGGCUACUCUGUGCCAGCAGCCGCGGUA
rnacentral:rRNA from 1 species